CGUGUAGGCGGUAAUGUAAGUCAGACGUGAAAUCCUUUGGCUCAACUGAAGAACUGCGUCUGAAACUGCAUGACUAGAGUGCAGAAGAGGGAAACGGAAUUCCAGGUGUAGAGGUGAAAUUCGUAGAUAUCUGGAGGAACACCGGUGGCGAAGGCGGUUUCCUGGUCUGACACUGACGCUGAGGCGCGAAAGCGUGGGGAGCAAACAGGAUUAGAUACCCUGGUAGUCCACGCCGUAAACGGUGGGUACUGGGUGUGGGAGGUGUAAUGCCUUCUGUGCCGAAGCUAACGCGUUAAGUACCCCGCCUGGGGAGUACGGCCGCAAGGUUGAA
rnacentral:rRNA from 1 species